rnacentral:rRNA from 1 species
UACGUAGGUGGCAAGCGUUAUCCGGGUUUAUUGGGCGUAAAGAGAACGCAGGCGGUCUUUUAAGUCUGAUGUGAAAGCCUUCGGCUUAACCGGAGUAGUGCAUUGGAAACUGGGAGACUUGAGUGCAGAAGAGGAGAGUGGAACUCCAUGUGUAGCGGUGAAAUGCGUAGAUAUAUGGAAGAACACCAGUGGCGAAAGCGGCUCUCUGGUCUGUAACUGACGCUGAGGUUCGAAAGCGUGGGUAGCAAACAGG